AUUGAACGCUGGCGGCAGGCUUAACACAUGCAAGUCGAGCGGAGAUGAGGUGCUUGCACCUUAUCUUAGCGGCGGACGGGUGAGUAAUGCUUAGGAAUCUGCCUAUUAGUGGGGGACAACAUUCCGAAAGGAAUGCUAAUACCGCAUACGUCCUACGGGAGAAAGUAGGGGAUCUUCGGACCUUGCGCUAAUAGAUGAGCAUAGGUCGGAUUAGGUAGUUGGUGGGGUAAAGGCCUACAAAGGCGACGAUCUGUAGCGGGUCUGAGAGGAUGAUCCGCCACACUGGGACUGAGACACGGACCAGACUACUACGGGAGGCAGCAGUGGGGAAUAUUGGACAAUGGGGGGAACCCUGAUCCAGCCAUGCCGCGUGUGUGAAGAAGGCCUUAUGGUUGUAAAGCACUUUAAGCGAGGAGGAGGCUACUGAGACUAAUACUCUUGGAUAGUGGACGUUACUCGCAGAAUAAGCACCGGCUAACUCUGUGCCAGCAGCCGCGGUAA
rnacentral:rRNA from 1 species